rnacentral:rRNA from 1 species
GACGAACGCUGGCGGCGUGCUUAACACAUGCAAGUCGAACGAUGAUCAGGAGCUUGCUCCUGUGAUUAGUGGCGAACGGGUGAGUAACACGUGAGUAACCUGCCCCUGACUCUGGGAUAAGCGUUGGAAACGACGUCUAAUACUGGAUAUGAUCACUGGCCGCAUGGUCUGGUGGUGGAAAGAUUUUUUGGUUGGGGAUGGACUCGCGGCCUAUCAGCUUGUUGGUGAGGUAAUGGCUCACCAAGGCGACGACGGGUAGCCGGCCUGAGAGGGUGACCGGCCACACUGGGACUGAGACACGGCCCAGACUCCUACGGGAGGCAGCAGUGGGGAAUAUUGCACAAUGGGCGAAAGCCUGAUGCAGCAACGCCGCGUGAGGGAUGACGGCCUUCGGGUUGUAAACCUCUUUUAGUAGGGAAGAAAGCGAAAAGGGACGGAACCUG